GUGCCUGUAGCUCAGCGGAUAGAGCACUGGUCUUCGGAACCAGGUGUCGGGAGUUCGAAUCUCUCCAGGCACGCCA
rnacentral:tRNA from 1 species